AACGAACGCUGGCGGCGCGUCUUAAGCAUGCAAGUCGAACGGCAAGAGAGGAGCUUGCUUCUCUCCUAGAGUGGCGGACUGGUGAGGAACACGUGGGUAAUCUACCCUUAAGAUGGGGAUAGCCGCUAGAAAUAGCGGGUAAUACCGAAUAGGCUCGAUGCUUCAUAAGAGGUGUUGAGGAAAGGAAGCUAAGGCUUCGCUUGAGGAUGAGCUUGCGUCCCAUUAGCUAGUUGGUGAGGUAAAGGCCCACCAAGGCAACGAUGGGUAUCCGGCCUGAGAGGGUGAACGGACACAUUGGGACUGAGAUACGGCCCAAACUCCUACGGGAGGCAGCAGCUAAGAAUAUUCCGCAAUGGACGGAAGUCUGACGGAGCGACGCCGCGUGGAUGAAAGAAAGGCUGAAAAAGUUGG
rnacentral:rRNA from 1 species